CCCAAGCGAGGUAAGGCAUGCCCCUCCCAGUCCCCAGCGAGGUAAGGCAUGCCCCUCCCAGUCCCCAGCGAGGUAAGGCAUGCCCCGCCCAGUCCCAAGCGAGGUAAGGCAUGCCCCUCCCAGUCCCCAGCGAGGUAAGGCAUGCCCCUCCCAGUCCCCAGCGAGGUAAGGCAUGCCCCUCCCAGUCCCCAGCGAGGUAAGGCAUGCCCCUCCCAGUCCCCAGCGAGGUAAGGCAUGCCCCUCCCAGUCCCAAGCGAGGUAAGGCAUGCCCCGCCCAGUCCCAAGCGAGGUAAGGCAUGCCCCUCCCAGUCCCCAGCGAGGUAAGGCAUGCCCCGCCCAGUCCCAAGCGAGGUAAGGCAUGCCCUAACCUGCUGUCACCUGCUACCACCACCCCCUGCCCCUAGUACCUGUCCCCAACCUGCUGAUCAGAAAAGUUAUGUUUUCAGAGGAAUUACUCCAUGCUGUAAAUUAUUUCCACACUUUAGCCCAGAUUAUACUGAUAAUGUAACUGGCUGGAAAUAGGCUUAACCAGGGGCUACCAUCUCUUUUUCUCUCAGGGCCAAAUUCCAUCAGCAACACAAAGCCAAGGUCCACUGACUCCUAUCAUUAUGGUCAUACUUUAGGCUAACUUACUGCUAAGUAACUGCUAAGCAUCCAUACUGCAGACAGUAUAGCAGGUUUGAUCAUGGUUUGCAUGGUGUCUGGUGCUGUGCUAUCUUAAGCUCCUCCCAUUUUACCAUCUCCUUUUGAGUUAGGGUGAAGGGGCAUGAUGCUGAACAAAGAGGAGGGGACUGAGAUAGAGGAAUGGCAAUGACAUCUCACAUUGCUUUUGGUACCACUUUACAAUAAGGCUCCCUUUUGUUAAUUGUAAAUGGUAAUAACUCAUUAAUAAAAAGAAAACAGUGUUAUAACUUGUUUAAAAUUGUCUAUUUAUAAUUUGCAAAGUGUUAUAACCUAAUUAAUAACCUGCUUAUAAACCAUUCAUAAACCCUUUAUAAGGGUAGCCUUAUUGUAAAGUGGCACCAUGCCUUUGUUGCCCCUCCCUUUCUUUCUCCUCCUCUCAUUCCCUUGCCUCUCUUGCUUUCACCGUCUCCCUCU